CGAUUCUCGUUCGACAACAUCUGCAAAUUCUCUUUCGGGUUGGACCCAGGUUGUCUCGAGCCGUCUCUGCCCGUUUCGAAAUUCGCCGACGCGUUUGACCUGGCCUCGAAGCUCUCCGCAGAACGCGCCAUGACGUCAUCGCCGGUGUUUUGGAAGAUCAAGAGGUUUUUCAACGUCGGCUCCGAAAAGCGGCUCAAGGAAGCCGUCAGAAUAAUCGAUGAUCAGGCGAAAGAGAUGAUCAAACAGCGUCGGAAAAUGGGCUAUGUCGCCAAAAACGACCUCCUGUCGCGGUUCAUGGCCAUCGUCAACGACGACGACCAGUACCUCAGAGACAUAGUCGUCAGCUUUCUCUUGGCGGGCCGCGACACCAUCUCCUCCGGUUUGACCAGCCUGUUCUAUUUACUGUCCCAGCACCCGGAAGUCACGCGGGCCAUCCGUGAGGAGUCGGAUCAGGUCAUGGGUCGGGCCGGAGCGAUCCCGAGCUUU
rnacentral:lncRNA from 1 species